UACGUAGGCAGCAAGCGUUGUUCGGAACUACUGGGCGUAAAGAGUGUGUAGGCGGUGCUCCAAGUCUGGUGUGAAAUCUCCCGGCUUAACUGGGAGGGUGCAUUAGAAACUGGAAUGCUAGAGGAUGGGAGAGGUAAGCGGAAUUCCUGGUGUAGCGGUGAAAUGCGUAGAUAUCAGGAGGAACACCUGUGGUGUAGACGGCUUACUGGACCAUUUCUGACGCUGAGACACGAAAGCGUGGGUAGCAAACAGG
rnacentral:rRNA from 1 species